AUCACAUCACUUUGAAACACUGAUUCUUGUAUGAUCACCAAAGUUAAGCAAAGUUGAGCCUGGUCACUACCUAGAUGGGUGACUACUUGGGAAUACCAGGUGCUGUAAG